rnacentral:lncRNA from 1 species
CUAUCAUUGUAUCUGGAGAAUCAGGAGCCGGCAAAACAGAAAAUACAAAAUUUGUUCUAAGUACCUGACUGAAUCCUAUGGAACAGGUCAAGAUAUUGAUGACAGAAUUGUUGAAGUAACCCACUCCUAGAAGCCUUUGGAAAUGCGAAGACUGUUCGCAACAAUAAUAGCAGUCGAUUUGGGAAAUUUGUAGAAAUACAUUUUAAUGAAAAGGCUCAGUUGUUGGAGGAUUUGUUUCACAUUAUCUCCUAGAGAAA